GGUUGUAGCUCAGUGGUAAAGAGCUUGCCUAGGAUGUGCAAGGCCCUGGGUUCAGUCCUCAGCACCA
rnacentral:tRNA from 1 species